UGGGGAAUAUUGCGCAAUGGGCGGAAGCCUGACGCAGCGACGCCGCGUGGGGGAUGACGGCCUUCGGGUUGUAAACCUCUUUCAGCAGGGACGAAGCUAACGUGACGGUACCUGCAGAAGAAGCGCCGGCUAACUACGUGCCAGCAGCCGCGGUAAUACGUAGGGCGCAAGCGUUGUCCGGAAUUAUUGGGCGUAAAGAGCUCGUAGGCGGUUUGUCGCGUCUGUCGUGAAAGCCCACGGCUUAACUGUGGGUCUGCGGUGGAUACGGGCAGACUAGAGGCAGGUAGGGGAGAAUGGAAUUCCCGGUGUAGCGGUGAAAUGCGCAGAUAUCGGGAGGAACACCGGUGGCGAAGGCGGUUCUCUGGGCCUGUACUGACGCUGAGGAGCGAAAGCGUGGGGAGCGAACAGG
rnacentral:rRNA from 1 species